rnacentral:tRNA from 1 species
GGGCUCGUGGCGCAGAUAGGUAGCGCAGCAGGCUUUUAACCUGAUGGCCGCGGGUUCAAAAAACCCCUUGACUCACA